GCAUUAUGUCAUCAAAACCUUUUUACAUUAGACUGAGGCGGCAUUAGGGAUCCUUCAGAUGAUGAAAUUGUGAAAUCACCCCAUCGGAGCUUUACAAAGGUGGAGAUACUAAGGCCUAAAGUGAAAAACUUGGACAUAUCUAAGCUCCAAUGUAAGCUGAAGGACAUAUACUUUCCAUAUAUUCAGUGCGAUGAGUUGUCCGAGGGUGGUAAGACUGUUAUGCCUGUUGAGUUCCAGGUUAAUGGUGUUGAUUUAGCUGAAAUCCAAGGCGGCGAAGUUGCAAUCACCAACUUGCAUUCUUGCAAUGGUUCUGAAUUUACUGUAUCACUGCGCUUUUCCCUUAAAAAGGAGAAUUCUUCAUCCAAUGCUUCAGGUAGUUAUAAUUCUUGCUGAAAAUCAAGAGAAAUUUGGAAGUUGGAAGAAAAUAAAGAAGGCGAA